rnacentral:rRNA from 1 species
AUUGAACGCUGGCGGCAGGCUUAACACAUGCAAGUCGAGCGGUAACAGGGUGCUUGCACCGCUGACGAGUGGCGAACGGGUGAGUAAUGCGUCGGAACGUGCCGAGUAGUGGGGGAUAACGCAGCGAAAGUUGUGCUAAUACCGCAUACGUACUGAGGUAGAAAGUGGGGGACCUUCGGGCCUCACGCUAUUCGAGCGGCCGACGUCUGAUUAGCUAGUAGGUGAGGUAAAGGCUCACCUAGGCGACGAUCAGUAGCGGGUCUGAGAGGAUGAUCCGCCACACUGGGACUGAGACACGGCCCAGACUCCUACGGGAGGCAGCAGUGGGGAAUUUUGGACAAUGGGCGAAAGCCUGAUCCAGCCAUGCCGCGUGUCUGAAGAAGGCCUUCGGGUUGUAAAGGACUUUUGUCAGGGAGGAAAUCCCUAGUGCUAAUAACACUGGGGGAUGACAGUACCUGAAGAAUAAGCACCGGCUAACUACGUGCCAGCAGCCGCAGUAA